AGUGAACGCUGGCGGUAGGCCUAACACAUGCAAGUCGAACGGCAGCACAGUAAGAGCUUGCUCUUACGGGUGGCGAGUGGCGGACGGGUGAGGAAUACAUCGGAAUCUACUUUUUCGUGGGGGAUAACGUAGGGAAACUUACGCUAAUACCGCAUACGACCUACGGGUGAAAGCAGGGGAUCUUCGGACCUUGCGCGAUUGAAUGAGCCGAUGUCGGAUUAGCUAGUUGGCGGGGUAAAGGCCCACCAAGGCGACGAUCCGUAGCUGGUCUGAGAGGAUGAACAGCCACACUGGAACUUAGACACGGUCCAGACUCCUAAGGGAGGCAGCAGUGGGGAAUAUUGGACAAUGGGCGCAAGCCUGAUCCAGCCAUACCGCGUGGGUGAAGAAGGCCUUCGGGUUGUAAAGCCCUUUUGUUGGGAAAGAAAAGCAGCAGGUUAAUACCCCGCUGUUCUGACGGUACCCAAAGAAUAAGCACCGGCUAACUUCGUG
rnacentral:rRNA from 1 species